CCUUGAGAAGCCUGGUACUUUUCUCUAUACAAUUUCACAGCAGCUGCAUGGCAAAGAAUCAAGUGGUGGACUACUAUGUAUGGUUCUGUUGCAGAGUUGCCUUCGGUGCAGUUUCCGACAUAAUCCGAACACCGACCUGGUGCAUUGUAUCCAUAUGCAUAUCCAUAUAUACUCAUUAAAUUAGGCUCAUUGACAGUGACCCAGUGCUUCACUCUAUCACCAAAUUCUUUGAAGCAAAAGUCCACAAAGUCAUAGAAAUCGUUCCUAAUUAAGAACAGCAACCAAUUCCCAGAAGUAAAUAGAUUAGAUU
rnacentral:misc_RNA from 1 species